UACGGAGGGUGCAAGCGUUAUCCGGAUUCACUGGGUUUAAAGGGUGCGUAGGCGGGUUGGUAAGUCAGUGGUGAAAUCUUCAAGCUUAACUUGGAAACUGCCAUUGAUACUAUCAAUCUUGAAUAUUGUGGAGGUAAGCGGAAUAUGUCAUGUAGCGGUGAAAUGCUUAGAUAUGACAUAGAACACCGAUAGCGAAGGCAGCUUGCUACACAAUAAUUGACGCUGAGGCACGAAAGCGUGGGGAUCAAACAGG
rnacentral:rRNA from 1 species